rnacentral:lncRNA from 1 species
UAUUCCUUGUAGAGAUUCAGUGUAAAACUAGUUGUGAUAUUGUUUAGAAUAAUAUGGAAUUUUUAAGGCAUUUCUUGUUUAUGUAUCUAAUCAGAGAUACAAUAUGUAAGUAAAACCCAGCUUUUUGAGAUUUAAAAUUUAUUGGAAUACAUUUUAUAUAGGUUAAAUGUCUAUGUAAUAAGAUGUUCCAUUUAAUUUUAAGAUGGUGAUACGUUUUCAAGGUUUCUUUUUCUGAAAAAUUGGCAUAAUGAACUGUCAAUUUUUGAAGAACUACGGAUUAUUUGCCCCAGAAAAGGAUUACAAGUACUAGUAAUCAUCAACCACCAUUGACAUCUGCUUUGAAUCGGAGAAACAGAGGGUUGGAUGUACUAAUGAGAGGGAACCAAAAAAAAAAAAACUGGCCAUUUUGUAUAACAGGAUAUGCCGGGUAAAUGUAAAUAAUACAACUGUACCAAUAAAUAUUGUACAUAAAACGUUUUUUAAAUCUGUAUUUUAGCCUUUUAUGGUACUGAUCCUUCAGGAAUCAAAGUAACAACAAAGUCUACUAAGUCCAUUCAUGUUGCAUGGGAUACAACAAAAACAAACUGUGGUAUGAGCACAACUGGAUAUAGAAUUUACUUCAACAGCACAGCGCCAUUCAAGACUUAUAAAUCUAAAGAUGUUUCAGGUGCAACAACGGACAAUGUGGAAAUAUUUCCCAUUGUUCCUGGAUUUUCCUAUACUAUUUCAGUAAAUAAACUUACCAUGACCGGAGAAAUAUCAAAUCCCACUUUUAUCAAUUAUACACAUCCACAUACAA